rnacentral:misc_RNA from 1 species
GUCGUAACAAGGUUUCCGUAGGUGAACCUGCGGAAGGAUCAUUACCACACCUCAAGUCUACCUUGGCUUCGGCUAAAAGUAGCAAAACAACAAAAGGAGAGACUUUUAACCGAGUCUCGAAUUUUGCGUCCCGCGGAUUAAAUAAACAUCUUCUGGUGUCUUUCGAGAUGCCCAAUCAAACCCCAUCUUUGCUAGGCGCUGCAUGGCGUUCUAGUGAGAUACUGAACCAUGAUUCUCAUAAUUCGGAGCGUCGGGCACUUCGGUGCAAGGACUUCGAUUUACGAAACAAUGUCAAAACACUUUCAGCAAUGGAUGUCUUGGCUCCCA